CGCACGCUCUGUAGCGAGAUUGAUUUGGUUGUCCCGGCGACGACUGGUAAUGUGCGUAGCCGGGUAGCCUUUGAAAUAUGCACAGCCUUUGGCAGGAAAAAAACUCAUUUGGGAGAGUAAAAGUCUCCCAACUUGAAGUUGUGGGCACAAAGACGUAUGAAUGCCACCAAGGGAAAGACAGACAAACAAAAGCCAAAGAUAAAUAUGCUGCUGAAAUGAACAUGAAGGCACUCUUCCUGGUUCCUCUUCUCUUGCUUCUCCAGGACUGUUUUCUUGAGCGUCUAAAAAAGUGACAUUUGUCGACAACCAUCCACCUCCCCACCACCACCAGCUAUAAUAACCGGCAGGGGGUUUGGUUUCCGAUGCCAG